ACGCGGGCCUCUCACUGCUGCGGCCUCUCCCGUUGCGGAGCGCAGGCUCCGGACGCGCAGGCUCAGCGGCCACGGCUCACGGGCCCAGCCGCUCCGCGGCACGUGGGAUCCUCCCAUACCGGGGCGCGAACCCGGUUCCCCUGCAUCGGCAGGCGGACGCGCAACCACUGCGCCACCAGGGAAGCCCUUGAUGUACAGUUUUGAAAGCACUAGUUCUUAGGCUAAGGCAUCAUGCAUUGAUGUUCAUGGUAUUUUUCACAUCCACUUAAAAUGAGUUAGGGAUAGUCCAGAGGAAUAAUGUUAAUACCAUCAAAAUGAAGAUCCAAGAGGUCAGAAAACAUUUAGAGGCAGUGGUGAGAUAUUUAUUGUAAUUGCACACAAAACUUAUUAUUUCUCUCUGUAUAGCCAAGACAAAAGAAGAAACACAAUAGGUUACUCUACAGAGGUCUCUUGAUGUUGCCCAAAGACAUUUUUCACUGCCCAGUUACUCACCUUUUUAUUUUUUCUAUAUCUGUAUAUAUUAGACCUUCACCUAGAGAUUCAGUCUUGCUGGCCCUCACCUCAGUUCUAAUCCUGUAUGUGCUCAAGGGCCCCAAGUAGGUCAAGUAACGAGUUAACACUGAUGCCUGUUUUGCUUUGACUUUUUCCUGUCAGAUUUGUUAACCAAGUUUUAUUUUGAGCCUGUGGAGAAAUCAUACUCUUCAUCUAUUAGGACUGGAUUUGUCUUGUUCUUUUUGUCUGAGCACCUUCCUGGAUAUCUUGAUUCUCAUUGCUGUUACCCUGAGACUGGGAUCCUGUCAAGGACUAGAGGCCCAAUGGUCUCACCCCAGCAUAUUUCCCCCAUGGCAAUGAUAGAGGGAAAGGCAAGUGGAAACAUAGGAGGUCUCUAGGAACUGGCACAUCACCACUUCCAUAUUAUUCUUUUGCAAAAGCAAGUCAUAUUGCUGAAGGAUAAAGAAAUAUACUUGGAACCCUUAGGAAGAGAAACAUGGCAGAGAAUGUGGAAGCAGGAAGGACUGUUGAAAGAGGCUGCACUUCCCAAUCCUAAGAACAAAAGAAGAUGAAUUUCUCUUGGAACUCUUUUUGUCCAUGCCUGGUACACUAUUCUCGGAUUUGUGCUGACUCAAAGACAAGGAGAUAGAUUGAGAGAAGAUUUACUUGAUGGACCAGAGCAAUGCUGGCUGUGGAGCUGGAGUUUAUCUGGAGACUUUUCAACCAAGCUGCUAAGGAGAGUGAAGCACACAUACAAGCCUGCUGCCAAGCAGUAAAAACUCUCUGAGAGGCCUGUAGAAUGAGUACAUAAGCAGCUGAACAGGAGCCAGCAGCUCACCACAAACAGUCUUCUAAUACCUUUCACAGUAAUGGAAUUGCCGAUGUUUCCCUGGAGCACAUUUUGCAGAUGCAAGAUUGUUUCAACAGUGUGAUCUACAGUAUCUGAGUAAUAAUAACCUGAAGAGAAUAAUACUUCACAAUGCAAUGGCAGCUUCCAUAUGGUUCUCAGUUCCCCAAAGCCUGGUAUAAGCAAGAGAAAAACAGGUGUGGCGAUCGGAAUGAUUAAGAGUCCUCAUUCUGAGGGAAACAGAACUAUCAUAGAAUCUGCACAGAGUGAGAAGAGAACAGAGGAUGGAACAAAGAGGGUCCCAGUGAUUAAGAGAGAGCUGGGAGAAAAACCCGAAGGAAGAAAGGGGCACAUAUUCCCUUGAAAUUUGGUAAAGCCAUGGGAUUUGCUUUGAUGAAUUAAAUGUUAAAACACUUCUAGGAAGAAGUGUUUAAACGCUGGUAUUUAUUUCUCCAAUGUCAUCUUUCCCUGUCACCAUGAUCUUGGAAGCAUGAGCUUAUAAGAGGUGCCAUAAGCUUGAAACAGCUUCUAAUGUUUUCAUUUCAUAGUGCUGCCCUCCAGGUCCUUUAGAAGAAGUCUUUCCUCAGUCCAAGGCACAUGUCUUUCUCCACCUCUUCUGGUUUGAGAAAAUGAUUGCGAAGACAGAUUUUUCUCUACAUUGUAUUGAGGAAAGGGGAGGAAGCAGGAAGGAUUUCAAAUUUUGGAUGCUACAGAAAAAGUUGUACUGCCAACUGCUUUUGUAAGCAAAGAAAGAUAAAGCCCUUCAUGGAAAACUAAUGAAGAAAUUCCUUUCCAAAUUGUGAGAAAAUGAGCUUCAUAUAUGCCUUCCCUAAGGAAAGAAAAAAGAUGACUUCAUCUAUAUCCUACCUUGUUCGAGAGGAUUAAGACAGCUUUAUGAUGACUUAAAAAGAAUCUUUUCUGUCAUGCCCUUAGUAUUAGCUGUUGAAAGCCAUUUUUUGUCAAUAUUACCAAUGUUCCUUUAUUGCAGCCAGAUGCCAGCUCUGCAGUGAUGGGUAAACUAAAGGAGCUUAUAAAAAUGGAAACCUAAAAUUCCAAGUUACAGAGUUAAAGAAACUGUCCAUGGGAUGGGUGGUGUAGGUUGUUCCAUGAAGAAAACACCAGAUAUUUGUCUUAGUUAAAAAGAUGAGUAAACUGAGUCACAGAUGGUUAAGGAAAUCAAUCAAGCCACAGAAGUAAGAAGGGCUUUGAAGGUUCUCCAGCUGCAGAGCCUAUGUUCUGAACUGCUAACCUCCCCGGGGUCUCCAUGUGCUAAUGUGAGCACAUGUAAGCUUGAGUAAUCAGUGAAAUUUAUAAAUGGAAACCAUUUUUGUUUGGCAAGUUCUCAAAUUUGUCCAUUGGAAUGGAUAAAUGGAUUUAUAAAUUGGAAUGUCUUUAGAAUUGUUUUGAAGGAAUCCCUCCCCAGUGUAUCCAUGGGAGGACACCGAGGAUAGUACCCUGGAUUUGCAUAAGAUAGACUCUGGACUUCUUUGUUCAUCCACCCACUUCUGUUCAAGAAUGUAUGUUUGGCCUCGAGAACUUAACCAGACCAUCUGUGAAUAUUCCUUUUUUUUCUCUGAGGGAAUUUUGAUUAUGGAGCUCAACUUUCAAAAUGAAGCCAACCAAUCAUUUGUGUUUUCUUUGUUCUUCCAUACCAGGUUUUUGAGGCUUAUGUUCAACAGCAAAGGCUACAUGGUUCAACUGCAGGUUUUUUUUCAAAUUGUCACAAAUCUCCAAAAGAUGUUCCAAUAUACUUAUCGAAAAAAACUGCCUAUAAGUAGAUGCACACAGUUGAAGCCCACAUUGUUCAAGGGUCAACUGUAGAUGGUAAUUUCUGUGUUAUCCUAAAAAAUGCUGGUAAGAUAUUCCCCUUGUUUGGUCCAAGAGGAGUUAAAAAAGACACUGAGGGACUUCCCUGGUGACACAGUGGUUAAGAAUUUGCCUGCCAAUGCAGGGGACAUGGGUCCGAGCCCUGGCCUGGGAAGAUCCCACAUGCCGUGGAGCAACUAAGCCUGUGCACCACAACUACUGAGCCUGAGCUCUAGAGUUCACGAGCCACAACUACUGAGCCGUGUGCCACAACUACUGAAGCCCACGUACCUAGAGCCCAUGCUCCACAACAAGAGAAGCCACCACAAUGAGAAGCCUGCGCACUGCAACAAAAAGUAGCCCCUGAUCACCGCAACUAGAGAAAGCCCACAUGCAGCAACGAAGACCCAACACAGCCAAAAAGAAAAUAAUAAAUAAAUAAAUAAAAAGACACUGAAUGAACUUGUACAAAUGGGAGAGAAGUACAUAUUAAUGAGGGUGGACAGUAAUCAGGAAUGCAUGGGAGAAGAGAAAGAUCUCCUGAAUAAGAAGAGAAUGAGAAAAUAAGCACCCUGUUACCAAACUAGUUCUUCCUGAUAGUUGAAAAUCUCCACAAUUCUUAGAAUUUUAUCUUUGUCACCAUCAGAAUUACACCCUUACCUGGAGAAAUGCUGAGACCCAUGUCAGAUCUUUGCCGAGGUAAGCAGUAAAGAGUAAAUUGAGGUGGAAAUAUAUGGAGAGCUGUCCAAAAUUGUGCCUGUAGAAUAACUUGCUAUAUUGAAAAAAUAAUAAAACAUAAAACCUAGCACAGAUAAUACAAUAUGAGAAUAUUUCAGAACCAUACUGGCCACAUUAUAAUGGCAAAUAUGAAGGGUACCUUCUUAUUGAAUCAAGUGCCCAAAGAAAUGAUUUCCUGGUCUUUUUUUGUGCAUCACCUCACUCUUUUAAAACUGAACAAUGUUGCCUUAGCAACUGAAGAAAAAUAUAUCUUGGACACAUCUGUUGUUUAUCCUGCAUCGUUUCAAAAUACAAUUUGGAUGUACUGGCAUGCAAAGUGAUCCUUAAUUUAAUGAAUAUACACAGUUUUCACACAAUUGCUAUGAAAAGUUCUAUUUAAAUUAGUUUUCCAGAUUGUAGAUUGUUAGGUGUGGAAAAUAAAUAUCCACUGUUAAUGGAAUAUAUUAACAUAAUAACUGCCUGAUUAAAAUUGAGACGUUUAUAUAAUGAAAUCUGACCCGCAAAGACAGCAAAAUCACACUUACUUCUCAUAUUCAGCCAGCAAUAUCAAUAAAACAUUCCAAGAGAUGUAUUAGGACAUAUUUAGUUAUUUUAAUUAUGUAUCAAGCUUCAUGCCAUGUACUUCAAUGACCCAAUUAAAGUUUUAUAAUAGCUCUAUUCCUCUUUAGAGCUAAGUAGACCUAAUCAUGUAAAGUAACUUUAAAAUUAAAAAUGCACUUCACUUUAAGUGAAUCUGAUUAUAAGAAAACUUGGUCUUAUCUAAUAUAUUUAUCUUAUAGGGGAAGGAUGGAGGAGCACUCCAGUGUUCCAGGCACUGCACCUGGGGCCUUACUGCACCUGGGGCCUCACCACCUAACUGCCCCUGGAGAUAUAACUUAUACGUACAGGCAUAACUCAUGUUAUUGUGCUUCAUGUUCUUGUGCUUUGCAGAUGUUGCGUUUUUUACAAAUUGAAGGUUUGUGGCAAUCCCACUGGGGAAGAUCUAUCAGCACCGUCUGUCUUUUCAAUAGUAUUUGCUCACUUUGUGUUUCUGUGUCACACUUUGAUAAUUCUCACAAUAUUUCAAACUUUUUCAUUAUUAUUAUUGAUAUAUUUGUUACGGUGAUUUAUGAUCAGUGAUCUUUGAUGUUACCAUUGUAAUUAUUUUGAGGCACCAUGAACCACGCCACAUAAGAUGGCAAACUUAACCGAUAAAUGUUACGUGUGUUCUGUCUACUCCACUGACCAGCUGUUCCCCCAUCUCUCUCCCUCUCCUCAAGCCUAUCUAUUCCCUGAGACACAACAAUAUUGAAAUCAGGCUAAUUAAUAACCCUACAGUGGCCUCUACGUGUUCAGAAAGGACGAGUCACAGGUUUCUCACUUUAAAUCAAAAGCAAUAAAUGAUUAAGUUUAGUGAGGAAGGAGUGUCAAAAGCUGAGAUAGGCCAGAACUUAGGCCUCUUGAGCCAAAUAGCCAAGUUGUGAAUGCAAAGGAAAAGUUCCUGAAAAGUCAAUGCCUGGCUUCACAGCUUCAAAAGACAGGCUGACUCUCUUGUUAGAGGUUAAAGCAGUGACUUUAAGUUGAAGGCAAUGCCUGUUUACCAUUCCAGUAACACCAGGGCCCUUAAGAAUUAUGCUGACUCUACUCUGCCUGUGCUCUAUAGUGGAACAACAAAGGCUGGAUAGCAGCACAUCUGUUUACAACAUUAUUUAUUGAAUAUUUUAAGCCCACUGUUAAGACCUACUGCUCACAAAAAAAGACUUCUUUCAAAAUUUUAAUGCUUAUUGACAAGGCAUCUGGUUUUCCAAGAGCUCUGAUGGAGAUGUACAAUGAGGUUAAUGUUGUUUUUAUUCCUGCUUACAAAACAUCCAUUCUGCAACGCAGGGAUCAAAGAAUAAUUUUGACUUUUAAGUAUUAUUCUUUAAGAAAUACAUUUUGUCAGGUUAUAACUGCCAUAGGUAGUGAUUCCUUUGAUGAAUCUGGGCAAAGUAAAUUGAAAAUUUUCUGAAAAGGAUUCACCAUUCUAGAUGUCAUUAAGAACAUUCAUGGUUCAUGGGAAGAGGUCAAAAUAUUAACAUUAACAGGAGUAUGGAAGAAAUUGAUUCCAGCUGUCAUAGAUGACUUUGAAGGGUUUAAGACGUCAGUGGAGGAAGUAACUGCAGAUGUGGUUGAAAUAGAAAGAGAACUAGAAUUAGAAGUGGAGUCUGAAAAUGUGACUGAAUUGCUGCAAUCUCAUGAUAAAACUUUAAGGAACGAAGAGCUGCUUCUUAUGGAUGAGCAAAGAAAGUGGUUCCUUGAGAUGGAAUCUACUCCCUAGUGAAGAUGCUGUGAAGAUUGUUGAAAUGACAACAAACAAUUUAGAAUAUUAUACAAACUUAGUUGAUAAAGCAGUGGCAGGGUUUACAAGAAUUAACUCCAAUUUUGAAAGAAGUUCUACUGUGGGUAAAAUGCUAUCAAACAGCACUGCAUGCUGUAGAGAAAUCUUUUGUAAAAGGAGGAGUCCACUGAUGUAGUGAACUUCGUUGUUGUCUUAUUUUAAGAAAUCAUUGCAGUCACCCCAACUUUUAGCAGCCAUCACCCUGAUCAGUCAGCAGCCAUCAACAUCAAGGCAAGACCCUCCACCAGCAAAAAGAUUAUAACUUGCUGAAGGCUCAAAUGAUGGUUAGCAUUUUUUAUCAAUAAAGUAUGUUAAAAGUCAGAUAUUUACAUUGUUUUUUUAGACAAAAUUUAUUGCACAUUUAAUAGACUACAGUAUAGUGUAAACAUAACUUUUAUAUACACGGGAAAACCCAAAAAAAUCCCGUGACUCCCUUUAUUGAGAUACUCACUUUGUUGCCCUGGUCUGGAACUGAACCUGCAAUAUAUAUCUUCGAGGUAUAUCUGUGUGUUACUUGCCACUUUACGGAAUGGAAAGAGAGACCCAGAGAGAUUAAGUAAUUUUCUCAAGAUUACAAAUCCAUCAAAUGGCAUUGCUUGUUUUUCAACCCUGAGGAUGCUUCCUCACCUCUCAUCCUUUCCAGCGUGCUGUGCUCUCUUCUUUCAUCGAUUUUAACAAGAUUUAUUUUUUGAGAUGAACUAUCUAGAUCCUUAAUUGUAAAUACAUUAUACUCCUGCUUGUUUUCUAUUUGUUUCACUUGCAUGGUGUUUUCUUUCCUCUCUUUUCUCGACUUCUUUUCAUCAGACUUUUUAUUAUU